GACGAGGGGUCCAAGCGUUGUUCGGAAUCAUUGGGCGUAAAGCGGGUGUAGGUGGCUCUGUAAGUCAGGAGUGAAAGCCCCGAGCUUAACUCGGGAAGUGCUUUUGAUACUGCAGAGCUUGAAUGUGGGAGAGGAUCGUGGAAUUCCUGGUGUAGUGGUGAAAUACGUAGAUAUCAGGAGGAACACCAGUGGCGAAAGCGGCUCACUGGACCACAACUGACGCUGAGGCGCGAAAGCUAGGGGAGCAAACAGG
rnacentral:rRNA from 1 species